UGGGGAAUUUUGGACAAUGGGGGCAACCCUGAUCCAGCAACGCCGCGUGAGGGAUGAAGGUCUUCGGAUCGUAAACUUCUGUUGCCCGGGACGAAUAGCUUAGACCUAAUACGUCUGAGUAUGACGGUACCGGGUGAGGAAGCCCCGGCUAACUCUGUGCCAGCAGCCGCGGUAAUACAGAGGGGGCAAGCGUUGUUCGGAAUUACUGGGCGUAAAGGGCGCGUAGGCGGCCUGCUAAGUCGAACGUGAAAUCCCCGGGCUCAACCCGGGAACUGCGUCCGAUACUGGCAGGCUUGAAUUCGGGAGAGGGAUGCGGAAUUCCAGGUGUAGCGGUGAAAUGCGUAGAUAUCUGGAGGAACACCGGUGGCGAAGGCGGCAUCCUGGACCGGUAUUGACGCUGAGGCGCGAAAGCCAGGGGAGCAAACGGGAUUAGAUACCCCCGUAGUCCCUGAGCGGGCUGGCAAGGCGC
rnacentral:rRNA from 1 species